rnacentral:lncRNA from 1 species
UUGGAAACAUAAUGAAUUGAUGUAUUACACAUUUCUUAUCUUUCCCUUUUUCUUAACAAAUAUAUAAAUAUCUGUUAAAGAAUAAGCACAUUUUUCUGUCGCCCAAAACAACGAAGGAAUUCAAUGCAACAUGAAUAUUGCUUUUAUUUUCAAUACUUUCCUACCAAUCUAGUAAGCCUUCUAAUUUGAUAGACAAAAAGAGUUUUGUUUUCAUCCUGUUACAAGCCUAGAAGUUACAGUUCAUAUAAAUUACAAUUGACAACCUAUUUCCAGAUUCACGACAAUUUAAAUAUGUAAAACUCAAGUACUGAAUAUGGUGAAGUUAAAUUUUGAACAAAUAUAAACUUUUCCCCCUCUUAUAAAAAAUGAUCUCAAAUCAAUUUUAGCAUUUUCAAGAAUAGGUCCAACACUGGAUUCAGACCUUCAAAAGUUAUCCAUUAAAGAAAAAUACAAAGUAAACUGAGCAUUGUUCAAAGGACAUAGAGAGGGUAUUGAUAUUAUCAGAGUAGUUAACUGUAAGGACUGGCAAAACAUACGGUUUCAGCUUGUGCUUGCAUAGCUUUAAACUCAGCUGCCUUUGCCUGCAACUCUACUUGUCUUGUCUCUUCUUGCUUCUUCAUGACUUCAAAAGCCUACCCCCAAAUGAGGUCAGCAAAGGGCAAAAUAUAAGAUUUUGAAAGUAAACGAAAAAUAACAUCAUUUCCACGAUGAUCACUUCAUAUUGCGGUUGAACUACACUUAGAAACAGAUCCAAAAAAAAAAAAAGUUUCAAAUGAUGCAAGCAAUGAAGUGCUAUUAAAAUUGGAAAAAAAAUUAACAAACGGGAGAAACUAGAUAACUGAAAAUUUAAAAGUAGUAAUUACUAAUUUAAAGCCACCAACUCAAGAAGAAAAAUAAAAUCAGUUUGAGCAUAUUUUAUUCGGUACUAGUAUCUUAAAGAAUUUACUGGUUCAGAAUAUCUACUUUUGCAGCUUCAUCCUUUCUAAACCUUUGCUUGUUUCCAGCUGUAGUAUUGUACAAGCGAAAGGCAAAUAUAAAAAAUCACCAUCCAAAAGUUCUAACAAGCAACUAAAAACACAGAACAUACAACAACAACAACCCUAACCUUCCAGAGAAGAGAACAAUAAACUCCUACCAAAAAAGUGAAAAAGAACAUUAAAGGUCAAUAAAAAAAAACAAAACGAGCAUCGAAGCUUAAAUAAAUUGAAACCUUCUUGGCAUGCGAAGAGGUAGUGAUCUCUCUAAGAGCUUUGGCGCCACGCUCGAGCGCUUCCGGAUCAAACCCAGAAGAGGAGGUCCUCGGAUUGUCAUUACGAGGCUUUGGGGCAGAGGGUUCAGGAUUAGAAGCAGGUGAGGAAGACUGUGGAGCAGGAGAAGGCAGAGGAAGAUUGGCGGGAGGAGAAGAGGAAAAGGGAGGAAAGUUGAAGGGGCCAUCGGCAUGGGCGGAAUGAUGUUGGGAUAAAGACGUAGAGGCUGCAAUGGCGGAAAUUAAACCCACGGCAUACGUCGUCUUGGCCAUUUGGUAGAAAAAUCGGAGCAGGAAAGCUGAAAGAAACCUAGAGCUCGGCUCGAGGUUUCGUGUUAGAGAGAAGCCAGCAGAAAUGAUAGGGUUUUAAAGAGGUUUUAACAAAAAAAGGCUUUACUUUCUCUUUCCAAGGGUUUAAGACAAAUCUAUACUUCAACAUGAACUUUGGGCCCAACUAUUGCAUUUUGCAUUUUGCAUUUUGCAUUUUGCAUUUUGCCAUAUAUAUAUCUCAAAUGUUUGUUUACAUUUUCAUAAUUUACUCUAUUUUUUUCCUCUUAAUUAUUAGUUACCUUUUAAAGAUAACAAAUCUAAUUUUAUUUACUAACCACUUUUGGUAUUUUGAUCGAUUCAUUAUGUAGAGUUCCAAAAUACGAAUUCAACACAAUUUGAAUAGCUAAAACGAAAAGAGUUGUAGCUGAAACAAACUUAACGGAAAAAAAUCUUGAGUUGGAUUGUUAAUUUACAAGUAUACAAGGCUUCAACCAACAAUUCUCUUCUUUUCAUUUUUUUGAUUGAGAAAGAAAUUUUAUUUUGUAAGGAUUGAUUUGUUGAGUGUUUUAACAUUUAAAUCUACUCUUUGAUAGAGUUUUUUCUCAUCUUGUUCCUUAUUUUCUAAAUACAUUAUAGUGGUUACUCUUAGAACCUAAAAAAUAGUGGUUCUAACGAUUUGAUCCUAAUUUGUGGAAACGAUGGAGUUUGCUUUUGCACUCCGUAAAAAAAGUAGUGUAACAAUUGUCUUUAAUAUGUGGAUAGAGUCAAAAGUUUUAGUGAUAUGCACUCAAGAGAAGCUUAGGAAGUCGAUGUAGGCGAGAUUUUGCUUAACCACCCAUACAAACAAUGGUCAAGAUAUAGAUGCAAUUCGUUGAUUGCUAGCAUCAAUCAUUUGUUUCACUAUACUUUAACAUUUGUUGGAUCGGCAACCCUAAAGGGGGGUGAAUAGGGUUUAAAUAAACUUUUUGACAAAUAAAAAGUAAAAUCAACUAAUUAGAUAUUUUUUAAAAUUUAAAUAAAGAACUUUGUAAACUUUGUUAAAUAACAAGAUUGAUAAAAAGAUAUGAAUGAAAGUAUGCAAUCAAACUCAACCAAUAAGAAUAUGUAACUAAAAUUAAAUUAAAAAAUAAUUAGAAAAGAGUUAGAGAAGAAGACACCGUAAUUUUAUAGUGGUUCGGUUAAACUCAACCUACAUCCACUUUCCCAAGCACCUCUUGGGAUUUUGAUUGAAAAUCUUCUUUGGACUCUUUCCACGGAUUUGAGCCGAACCGAUUCUUGCUCCUUUUUCGGGUUCAAGAGUAAACCCGAUCCUUUCCACGGGUUAGGAUCCAACCGUUACAAUAUGUUGAAGUUUUUAAAUCACGCAAAAGAAAAACUCUCUAAAAGAGUGAGUAUACAAUUUGAAGCUCACAAAUUUAAUCCUCACAAUACAAUAAGAAGCUCUAUGAAAAGAAUAAAAAUUGGAAGCUUUAGAGAGAAUAACAAUGUUGGCUUUUUGCACUUUUUGAGGAUUGUAAAGAUUUUAUGAUCUUGUGUAAAUGUGAAGUAUUUAAAAAGAGAGGAAAGAUAAAUUCAAAAUCAUUUGCGUCAUUAGAUAUAAGUAAAAGAAAAAUGAAUGGUUGAGAUUUAAACUUAAUUAGCCGUUAGACACCAUACAAAUAAUAAUAUAAUAAUAUGUCUUUUCAAAAUACUUUAUUUAAAAAGAAAUCAAUAAAGCAAUUUCACCCUCUUUUAAAAUAACUAGCCGUUAGACACAAGAAAAAAUAAUAAUAUUAAAAUCAUUUUCUUUUUAAAUUCAUUUUCUUUAUAAAAGCCAAUAAAACAUAACAAAAAGCCACAUUUGUUACUCCUUCAUUGCUCCAAGUGGCUUUCUCUAAUUGGUUCAAAUUGAAUGCUUGGUAGCCACGUCAACAUCUCGGGUAUUUUUCGUUAACCUUCUUUUAGCAAUAUUUUCUUCAUUUGAACUUCGAUUUGGGUGAUUCAAGAGGCAUUAGAAUCAUUUUUCCAAGCUCUAUGAUAUGGUCUAUUCAAAUUAAUAAAAUUGUCAAUAAAAAAAAUCAAAUUUGUUAUCAUCAAAACAUAAAUUAAUUGAAUAAUUAAAAUAAAUUAAUUUGAGAUUAAGGGCCAAAAAGCCAACAACAUCAACAUCUCUUCCUACAAUUUCAUUAUCGUCAAGUUUUGAAAUUGUCUUUGGAAAAUGGCUAAUAACAUCAAUAUCUAGUCUUGCAGAUUCAUUACCGACUAGUACUCAUAAAGGAGCAACGUCAUUGAAAUGUUUUUCUAACCGUUCUUAUUUUUUUUUCACCAUGUUUCAAUGAAAUAUGAAAGCAUUGCUAAAAGAAGAAACGCAAUUGCAUACCUUCAUUUUUCUUGUUUGUAUUAGAAGUUAAAUAAUUAAUUUAGCAAGUUGUUAAGUAUAUCAAUACUUUAUUCAUUUACCAUUUGUUGUUAUCUUAUCAUUAGUUUCCCAACAACCAAUAGUUGCUCUCCCUUUAUGUAUAAAUACCCAUUAGUGACAAAAAUCUCGACACUAACUCCUCUGAUGUUUCGAAUACCACUUCGAUUGAAGUCCCUAAUCUUAGUCGGUUUUCAAGCUCCCCACAACCACCAACCAAUCUAUCAGAAUCCUACCUCAAUCCAUACUUCCUACGUCAUAACGAUAAUAUGAGUCUCUUACUAGUCACAGAGUCUUUAACUGAAGAAAACUAUGCUUCGUGGAGUCAAACCAUGAUCAUUGUCUUGUCAAUCAAGAACAUGCUCAGAUUCAUUUAUGGAACUAUCCCUCAGCCAAUAGGUGAACUUCUUUCAUCUUGGAUCUGAAAUAAUAACAUUGUAAUCUCUUGGAUUAUGAACUUUAUUUUUGGAACUAUCUAGGCAAGCAUCUUGUUUAUUGACUCUACCAUAGUUAUAUGGUUGGACUUAUAAGAACGAUUCCAAAGAAAGAAUGCUCCAUGCAUCUUCUAACUCAAGAGAACUCUUGCAACUUUUGCUCAGAAUCAAGACUCUGCUAGUAUGUAUUUCACCAAAUUCAAGACUCUGAUUGAUGUAUUCAAUAAGUAUCACCUUGGAUGCACAGUGGUAGUGCUUAUAAAUACGCAAAAUAAAAGAUAUGACAGAAUUCCUUCAAACCAAAUAUCUCAUAGAUUUUCUCAUGGGACUCAAUGAGUCUUUUUCACGUGCUUGAGCAUGCUAUUGUUAAUGGAUCCACUAUCGACUUUAAGUCGUGCUUUCCCUUGGUUCUUUAAGAAGUACAACAGAGGUCUAUUGGAGCUUUCUCCUCUCUCCCUUCCGUCGUUGCUUUGGUAGUCACUACAUCUCCUUCACAAUCGAUCAAAUGUUAAACAACGUAAAAAUAGAUUGCUUUGUUCUCAUUGUCCCCUUGUUGGCCACACCAUUGAUCGUUGUUACCAGUUGCAUGGCUUUCCACCAGGGUACAAAUCCAAGCAACAAGAAUAAGCAAACAACUAUACCCCUCCACCUAAUACGACAAACUCUGUCAUUACAAAUAACAACCAAACCAUUGCUAAUCCAAGCUCUCAGUCCACUGUCGAUGCCCUGUUAUAAUGCAAAACUAUACUCAACCAACUUCAAUCACAAUUAUCCAUCUACUCAUUGGCUGCACCAAUAACAAAUAUCACAGCUUCUUAUAUUGCAAAAAUUCUCUCUAAAUUCUUGGAUUAUUGAAUCAAGUGCUUCUACACAUACCUAUUUCCAUAAAGAUGCUUUCAUCACUCUUAUGCCAUGUUCUAAGCCAGUAAGCUUGCCUAAUAAACAACCAUUCAAAGUAUAGUAAUGAAUAAUGUCAUGUAUAUACCUUACACGAGAUUCACUAAUAAAUGUUCAUUUCUCUACUAAUUAUUGUAUGUUUCAGGACAAGUACACUUCAAGGGAGAUUGGUAGUGCUAAACUUCAUCAUGGCCUCUACUUUCUUGACUCGCCGAAGAAAGUGUCACACGGCCCUCUCCCAUACCACCUAUUCUCGACUUGAGACAUAGUGUGAAGUCAAUUGAUAUCACUCCCCUCCUGAACGAAAUCAAUUGACCCUGAUUACUGCUCACUUUAAAUUCUAAACAAUCUAUCAAAUUAAAGCUUAAACAUAUGGCCAAUACAACAAAUAGAGAUUAAAUAAACUUCCUUACAUAAUCUCUGAAAAUAAGUCAAGGGUAAACGCCAUUAAGUACAUACCACACUUUGAACCAAACGAAAACUAACAACUUGACUAACUUAACUUCACACAUAUAUACAUAACAUGACUUAACUUAAAAUACCUAACUCAAACUUUCUUUUCAGUUGCUAUACCACAAGAAUCACAAGAUAGAAUCUGAGGCAUCCUUAUGGGCCCUCAUCCUGUGAUAUGAUAUUUACGAGAAGAAAUCUAAGACACUAGUAGUGCCCUCGCUCAUUACAGCUAUAAACAAUGAGAUGGAAUCUGAGGCGCUCUUACGGGCCCUCAUCUAUUUGAGUAGUGUCAUGUCAUUAUGCUUUGAAGUGCUAAGUGUCAUUUAUUGAGUUCAAUCAAAUUGAAUUUGUUGUUGUUGACCUAGACAUGCCCCAUUCCUAUGGAGUUUGUUGUUUUCGCUUUAGACAUGUCCCCACCCUCCUUUCUUAUUUAUUUUGUUACGUUACACAUUUCAGAUUUUAUGCACAAAUGGUCUUCUAUACAAAAUUUUGAUGUUGAAAUCGGAUGAAUAUGAAAAGAGUAUUUGGUUCGUAUCUUAUAAUUUUUUAAAGAAAGAUCAUUUCAUGAUUCCAAGACUUGUAGGAAUUUUUUGUUAUGCACAAUACUUUUGAACAAAUGUAACUUCAUAGUCAUGACUUUGAAACUAACUUUGGACAUCCAUUUACUUGAUGUAACUUCAUACUUAUAACUUAGGUUGACAUUUGCUUGAACUAUUUAUAAAAUUAUUGAAGUUUCUUGACAUAUAUUUCUUGUGAUAAAGUUGGUGUUAUUUCAUGUUGUCUAGUGAUAGUUCUUAAGAUUAUUAUAUUUGACAUUUUAUAACAGAUUUAUAUAAUAAAUUGGAUAUUUUUUUAUUUUUAUUUUACAAGUUUGAUUCAUAUUUGCCUCUUGUUGAGUAAUAUUUAUGUUUUAAUUUUUUUUGUUAAGUAUUAUUGUAUCAAUGUUGUACCAAAAGUUCAUAAACCCAACCCAACCUAUUUAACCAAGUGCAUUUGGAUGACUCACCCAAAUGGAGGAAAAGGGCAAAAUUUUCAUAAGGAAAGAAACUUGCUCAUUCAUGGGAUGAGCAUUGCAAAUGAGGUUGGAAGAGAAAAUUUUGGUGGAUUUCAUGAAAAGGAGAAGUGGAGAUAAUACUUUUCUUCGUGGGGGAGAGAGAUCAUUGUGGUGUGGAAUAAAUGUGGAUUUGAGACUGUAACACUCAGAUUUAAAAUGAGAGAGAAAUUACUCACACAGUUUCUUUAAUUAGCCUCUUUCUAAAAACUGGAAAAUCCACAGAUAAAAAAUCUAUCUUUUUUUUUCUAAAAAAGAAAGAAAAAGGGUUUAGAAAUUGAUAGAAAUCAACUAAAUUUUUUGUAUAAUUAUUAUGAAUCAGUAUUCAUUGAAAUUGGAAGAUUUAAAACUCAGAGACAAACACAGCAUUAAACCCUCUUUCUCCAAUUCCUGCACCACAGUGAUGGAGUUUGUUUAUUUUAAGUUGUUUUUUUUGUUGCUUUUAUGAUAGCUUUUAAGAAGUUUUAUGAUACUCAUAUUCAUAAUAAUAAAAUGCAAGUGUUGAAUUCAUUAAUAACCACAAAAGAGAUCAGAAUGAAUGAAGUUGGUAAACAAAUAUGAUUAGGAUCUUGAGAAUCUCAAUUUGCAUCCUCUGAAACAAUUAUUUGUACAUAGUUUUUACAAAUGGAAAGCCAAGAGAAUUCAACUCUCAAAAGUUUAGUACACAUUUGCAUUCAACACCAAUAAAAUAUAUAUAUAUAUAUAUAUAUAUAUAUAUAAUUAAAAAAAUAAAUCCAAGGUACUAUAAGCAUAACUAUUGAAAUAAAUCUGAAUUUCUGGAAGGUAGGAAAGUUUGGCCCGCUUCAUCUCACCUUCGUCAAGUAGUAGCUGUGGACAUUUAUAAGCAUACAAUUUUUUUAAUUUGGUGAGACGUAGAAUUGCUCCUGUAGAAGGCAAUUUUUUCAAUUUUUUGCAAUUAGAAAGACCGAGUGUUUGCAAACAUACAAAGUUUCCUAACCAUUCUGGCAAAGCUUCAAUGCCUCCAAAAUUUUUAAUGGACAGAAAUUCCAAGGCAGUGAGGUGUUGGAGUUGUUGAGGAAUUUGCGUUACACUAUUGUUGCUCAACUCAUCCUCGACUAAAGUAAUUUGUUUAAGGGAAGGAAGGUGCUGAAGGAUGCCAAAAUCAUAAUUAUGCAUAUUUCCAACGAUUUCCAUUUCCCUCAAAUUCAUGAGAUGACAUAAAUCUUUUGGCAGCUUCCUCAACGGACCAAUGUUUAAAUAACACAAUUUCGACUUAUUUCUCAUAUCUAUGCUCAAAUUUGAACAUUGGUCUAUUCUCACAUGUCGAAUGGAACUACAAAAGUGUAGUCCAUUUGGAAGUUUUGUCAAUUUAUUACAGUGUGAAACGGACAAUGACUGAAAGUGUUGCAUACCAUUUUCAUAGAAAACUUUUGGAAUGUUUAAUAAUUUAGGACAUCUACUUAUCUCCGAGCAUUUAAGAUUGGGAAAACUUGUAAUAUUUGAUGUUAAUCAUUUGCCAUUACUUCUUUCCAUUGCUCUAAGUUGAUCAUCUCAUACAUUACAAAUUUCUCAAGCUUUGGGAAGAACCUUCUUUGGUUUGGAUCAUUACCAUAGAACUCGUUGUCUAUAAUUCGGACACCAAGGAAGCUGUAAAUCUCAAGUUCCUUUAGGUUGUUUAAUUGUCCAAGCAUUGGAAGCUUUACACAAUUAAAAGAUGAAUACAAAUGUAUCACUCUUAAAUUCUCAACAAAAAUCUUGUUAGGCAAACGUCUUUCUGCAAAGCUGUGGAUUAUUAAUGAUUGGAGAUUUUGGUUUGGUUGAAGUCCUUCCAACACCUCCAAAUCAUUGUAACUGUUGUUAUCUUUUCUUUCCAUAUCCCAAUUCAAGUGCAGCUCUUUUAAAUUCUCCUUUUCUGCCAAGUUUGCUCCAUUGGCUUCCUCUUUACUUUCAACUUUCUCCGAACACAAAAGACUCAAACUACCUUGCAAGUUUUUCAAUCGACCCAAUUCAGUAAUCUUACAACCUUUUUCAAACCCGACUACAAAAUGAGACAAUAUUUGAAGUUGAGUCAAACGACUUAAAUGUAGAGGCGUUUUGUCAGAACUUACCCAUAAUUCCAAGUGCCUUAAACUUGCCAAAUUUGUAAAGUUCAUCGGAAAUUCUUCAAUCUUUGAGUGUAGGAACUUCAAUGUUUGCAAAUUAUGAAGCGAAACAAUAGAUUCUGGAAAUUUUAAUCUCAUUGAAUUACUUGAAAUCUCAAGUGUUUCAAUUGACCAAUUGACUUGGAUAACUUCUCACUAGAAAUCUUCAAAAUACGCAAACAAACAAAAUUCCUUAUCUUAAAGUGAUCAAAAAGUGUAUGAUCUAUAUUGUGAGGAAUCUUUUGAAUGAAAUCAAUCGUGCGUAGCUUGCAUGCAACGUUUUGAAUCUCUUUCUUCUGAAGUUCCUUCUCCAAUAUAUUGCUAGGAUUUAGUCGCAAAUUUUGAUCCCUAGAAAUUGCUAUUGCAAUAUCAUGUACAAGAUCAUGCAUCUUAUAAUAUUCUCCCAUCUUUAUUUCAUUGGCAACUUGAAAUAAGCACUGUGACAACAAGAUCUUGAAGUACAUGUCUCCUACAUUUUCCAUCGUCACAUUUCUUCCUUCUUGUGGUUGAAGAAAACCUUGUGCCAUCCAUAUUUUAACUAGUCCUUGUUUUUCAAACACAAAAUCCUUCGGAAAAAUUGAACAAUAAGAAAAACAUUGCUUUAUGAUGGCAGACGAUCUACACUUAAUUUUAAUGAGACAAAACAAAAUUUUCCUCUUGUAUUGGAGUUUUUAACACACUUUUCAACAUUUCCUUCCAUCUCUCAACAUCUCCUUCAAAUUUUACUGCCCUUCCUAAAACUCGUGCAACUAAUGGUACGCCACCAAUUUUUUUGACUAACUCUUUUUGAACGAUCCCCAAGUUUGAAGUCAUUGGAUAAUCCAUAUGCAUUUGCACUUUCUUUAAAUAAGGACCAACAAUGAUCAUUAGAUAAUUUACUUAAAAAAUAACUAUGACAUGUUUCCAUGAUUUUUGCAACUUCAGCACUUCUUGUAGUCACAACAAUACUAUUCUUAGAGUUUUCAGUGAUCUUGAGUAAACAACAUUUCAACUCAUUCCAUAGAAAAGAAUUUUCGUUCCAAACAUCGUCAAGCACAAGAAAAUACCGUUGCCCAAGCAUCUCUUUUUGGAGUUCACGAAUAAAACUUCCUUACUAUCCCCUCCAUUAGAUUAAAAAUGGUGCCUUUUAGAUUUUGUAAAAUAUUUAGCAAAAUCUUGUUGACAAUAAAUGGUUCAGAGACACAAACCCAUACAGUUUUAUCAAAAUGUUGUCUAACCAACUCAUGGUUGAAAACUAACUUUGCCAAAGUUGUUUUUCCUAAUCCACCCAUACCAACAAUGGGUAGGAUAGAUGUAUGUUGAUUAUUGCUACCAUCAAUCACUUGUUUCACUAUACUUUCAACUUCAACAUCCCUCCCCACAAACUUAUGAUCUUCGAGUUCUGAAAUUGUCUCUCGAUAUUGACUAAUAACAUCGAUCUCAGGACUUGCAUUUUCAUUUCCCAUUAGUCCUAAAGGAGCAGCCUCAAGGUAAUGCUUUUCUAACAAUGUUAUAAGAGUCAUCAUUUUUUUUGCCAUGUUAAGACGAAAGAUCAAAGCAUUGGUAGAAGGAGAAAAGAAAUCACACACCUUCUUCAUUUUUCUUGUUUGGACCUUUUGUCGAAGAUCUUCAUAAACAAUUUCGUCUAAUAGAUCAUCGGCUUGAUAAACAAGAUGUUGAAGAUCGUCCCACCCACAUCCUCACAGAAUAUCAAGAUGUAAUUUUCUCAUGUUGAUAUCGCGUAAGAAAGCUUCAGCCUUGAGUAGCCAUUUUUGGAGGUUGGAGAGAUGUUCCUGGAAGCCCCAUGCUAGUCGAGUUUGCUCCCCUGCAACCUUCAACACCUUCUUCAACAUUUCUUCCACAGCAAAAGUCCAUAGGAAAUCAGCCAUAUUGUGCAAUUCUAAGGUUCUGUCUCAGAAAGAAAGCUCAAAUAAUGAUUUGGAGAAGAAUUAGAUGUAAAAUACAAAUGAUGUAUGAAAAGAAAUGGAAGUCUUUGCAAGUCAAUGUGGACUUGGGACAGAGGAAUGUAGCUUCACAGAAAUUAAUGAAAUGUGGUUUGAAAUUAAAGGUUGUGGCAUUAUCAUAUUCAUACGUAACCCAACAAAUAAACUAAAAUAAAUAAUCAAUCAAUCAAUCAAUAAAUCCCCAUUUGUUACUCUCAGGCUCAACUAUUUGGCUAAAAAUUGACGUGCUACUUGAGUUCGAGCCAAUCUUGCCACUAAAGUAAGUUUAUUGUGUUAGAUUUGAUAAAUUAUUUGUUCUUGAUUUGAGUGAUCAUGAAAUUCGUCCAACCAUGCAUCUGGAUUAUUUUAGAAUAUAUUAAAAAACAAUCGAGAGAUGCUUUAAUUUUUCUCGAGCUUCAAGGGUCUCACACCUAUUAAUAAGAAUCGAGUUCUGAUUUGUAAAGCAAGGAAGCACAAAGGGAGGAUGAAAGAAAAGCAAGAGAUCAGUUAAGAGGAAAAAGUAUGUGAGUGUAUUGAGAGAGUGAAAUAGUAUUCUCUCUAAGGGUGUCCAUCUUUAUAAAUUAUUAAUAAACGCUAUUUAUUUCUUCCAUAGAGACUCUCUCUCUUUCUUUUGUGUCUAUUUCUUCAACAAGAGUGGUAUAACAAAGCCAAGAUGCUUUAACUUCGAGUCUAGAACAAAGCUAAUUAUUAUGGAGUUGCAUUUGUCACUACAUGGUGAUGAGAGACCUUUAAGUUGCUGGAGACAAUCAAGAAGCUCAGAACUCAAAAUUAGAAAACAUGUUCUACGUGGAUGAAGUCAUAUCUGCAGGAAAAUUUGUGAGAUGUUGUAGGAGGCAAUGGAGUCAAAGCCACCUUAGAAUGCUGCUACUUUAAAAGUUGAGGAAAUGAACUAUCAAGGGCAGGUAAGGCCAUGUGAAACACAUCUCAAAAGUGUGUUAUAAAGCAUAAAUUUGUGUUGGUUUUAAUGUGUAAACGAGUGAUUUGAUGCUUCUCUUAUUUAGUUUCGUAGGAAGCGAGCAUUUAGUGUGGAACAAACCAAAUUUGGAGUAGGAAAGGUCAAAAUGCAGCACACCACACAGUGAUACCAAGUAAAAAAACAAUUGUUAAAAUAAUUGGAUUUAAAAAUUAAAAACAACUUUGUAACGCAAACAAAAAUUAAGGUAAUUUUUAAUUUAAUUAUUUUAAUUUUAUUUAAGGAGUAAUUGCAAAUUUAGCGAUUAAAUUUAAAAUAAUUAAGUAUAUAGCAAUAUUUUAAAAAAUUUACAAAUAUAACAAAAUUUGUCAAAUUUCAUCGGCGAUAGAAGUUUAUCACCGAUAUACCAUGUUGUAAAUAUUGAUUUAUCACUGAUAGAUCAUAAUGAGUCUAUUAGCGAUACAAGUCUAUUAACGAUAGUUUUGCUAUAUUUACAAUUUUUUUAAAUGUUAUUAUAUCCUUAAUUAUUAUUCUUCAAAUGGCUAUUCUAAUUGUGUUUGAGUUUAUUGAGUGUUAUUUUGAUGAGAAUUAUUUGAAGUUGAAAUUAAUUAAAUAUUUGUUUGGAUGAAUAUUUAAUUAAUUAGUGACUUUGGGUGUUAUUAGAAUUAUGAUUAAUUAUAUAUAUGGGGAAUUUUUAAAAUAUAUACAACCUAUAGCAAAUUCUAUCACCCAUAGUCAUUGAUAUGUUAUGGUGAUAGAAGACUAUCAGUGAUAAAAUUCAAAAUUUUGUUAUAACUUGUAGAUAUUUUAAUUUAUUUUGCUAUUUUUAAAAAUGUCCCUUGUUUGAAUUUACCUAACACUACAAUUUUUUUUUAAAUAGUUUCUUUUUUUUUUUGCAAAAUUAAAGACUUCAAAAUCCCAACAAAACACAAUCUCGGAAUUUUUCUUAAACAAAGUUGAAUUGGUUUCAACCUACUUUUUGGAAAAGUUAAUUUGGAAUGUACGAUAGCACAUUGUUAAUUUUAUUAAUUAAUAUAUCGAAAUUUCCCUUUAUGAUUUUAAGAUCGAAUUAAUUUGAGAAUUUUUACUUUUUUGACUAAUCUUUGAAAUAAGAGAUUCUACCACGGGAUCUUCGAACUUGAAUUUAAGAGCUUUCAUGUAUUUACUAUUAUACAUUGAUGAUAGCUAAAAUGCAUAAUGUGAUGUUGUUAGUUAAUGGCGGAUAUUAUAUGAUGACAAUGAUUAUUGUGUGCAUUGUUUUAUGAAUUAUAUGAUUUAUGGACUUUAUGACUCAAAUUGUCAUGUUUAGGAUGCUUGCUACAUGCUUUGGAUUGUGAUGUCUCUAUUCACUUCGACCAUUAGGAUUUGUACCUACAUGUACGAUGUUCCUCAAAAUCAUCACCUUCCACUAAUUUAUGACUGUGUGCAUUCGACGAGACCACCAGUUUAUCAUGUCGUGUUUAUGAGUGGUCCGACGGGAUCAGUUACAACUCGAUAUCAUGGGUGUUUCUUUGGGUUUAUCGAUGGAUGAGAGUUUUCCUAUGAAUCACUAGAUUAUUUGUGUUCCAUGGAGCAGAUGGUAAUUUUCGAUGCCUCUUAAUGGGAUCCUAAUGGAAAGUUAGUAGAUCACCUAGUGAGUCUCUUAUUGAAUAUAUUUUUAUGUUUGCUUUUUUUUUUUUUUCAAUGUUUAGUAUUUCAGGCAAAGAUUAAGGUAAUGAGAAGCUGACGAGCGAUAAGAAGAGUUUCGUGACAUGUUAUAUGGAGACUCAGUUUUGCUUCAACUCUUUCGUCGUUUGUUUUCAAUAAUUUCCAUUUUAAAUAUUUUAUGUUAAAGUUUUUAUGUCAUUUAUUUAUUUUUAUUUUCUUAAAAUCCUUUAGAACCGUGAGACAUGUUUUCAUGGUAAAUUUUAUUGAUUUUUCUAAUCUAUGUUUUACGAACAGUUAUUUGAAAUUAUUUUAAUAAAAAUAUAGUUUUCCUCUUUUCAAGAAAGUGUCAAAAAAUUUAUUUAUUUUAGAGUAAUGACAUUAGCUUAGUUUAAAGAGUUGGAUUGAUACAAACUUAGUCGGAUCCCCUAAUAAAAAUCAUUAAAGAAAACAAGCGUUCAAAUAAAUCAUAUUACCAACUAACCCAAAUGUUCAUAGUAUUCAAAAAUUAUACAAAGAAAAAUAGAAAUAAUAAGUGAAAUCAUCAAUCAUAUCUAGUCCCAUUGGCAUGGUCACUAGUCCCUCUUAUCACUCGUCGACUUGCCUUUACCUUUGCCUGAAAAACUAAACAUAGAUAGGAUGAAUAUACGAAAUACUCAGUAAUGAAUCCACUAUUGUCCUUACUAGUGAACUUUUAACUUCCUAUUAAGGAAACACUCUAUGUCAUAUAAUAGUUUAGUGAUCUCGUAAGAGCAUGCAUUAGUCAGUUUGUUGAACCCGUGGGAGUACACGACUAAACAGUUAUAAGUGGUAAUCCCAAAGGACAUUGUACAUAUAUAGUGUACUAGCCUAAUGGCCAAAGUUAACACAAUUACCAUCGGUACAAAAACAUUCUAAUUCAAUCAAACUUAGUCCAGUUAAAUGAUAAACAACUCAUGAAACAUUUAUUUAAUAAUCUUAUUCAAUCUACAUAAUCAUCACCUUCAUGAUUUUGCCAAAAUAAAUCACAAUUAAUCAUGAUGUCAUUGCAAUUUAACCCAAUUCAAUUCAACUUCUUGAUAUAUAUAUAUAUAUAUAUAUAUAUAUAUAUAUAUCCUUGUCAAUGAAAUUUAAUCCAACUUAGUGCAUUCAAUACAUAUUCAUUCUUACUUGGGUUGCGUUGAAGACCUUGUAGUAAAUCUCUUACCUUAAACUUUGAGUUAAUUCAUUGGUUGCAAUUAAAUUCCCAAAUUCAACCUAAAUAGAAGGAAUUUAAAUUAAUAGUUUUAUCGGUAAAAUUAUCAAUUACAAACCAACUUUAAUUCUCCAAUUUAACUUACCCAUUGAUGUUGAAACUCCAAAAUUCCAUCCUGUUGGAAAAAACAGAGAUAAAUGAUCAUGUCCUGCCCUAAAGUCACCCCUUCCAACUAAGUGGAGGUGUGCGGCUUAGACCUUUAUCACAUACUCUUGUGGGGUAUUGUGUAUCGCGCUAAACGUCUAGUAAGAGGAAUAACUUAACUCUUUUCACUAAGUUUAAACACCUCUUUCUUUUUACAAGGACACAAGAUACGACAACUUGACUAAGACGUCUUUGAUACUGCGCUCUCUCUUUUAACCUUGUAAUUAAUUACACGAUAGACACAAAUAACACAAUGGAAUGAAUAUAACAAUUCUUUAUUAAUUAACCUAAGGCUUUUACGAUGUUUAGACAUUACAAAUACAACUCUUGAACUCUCUUAGCACUGAUACUUGCCCCUUCGCUUAACAACUGCCCCUUUUUAUUCUAACAUUGACGUUUCGCUUGCUCACCUCAUUGUGUAGCAAUACAAGUCGUCAUUCCUUUCUAUCUUUCUUGCUAGAUGGUUGCUUCUUGAUGUUUUGGGUACUUUGAGGUAUGAAGGUUCUACUUCUUUCAUUACCUCAAACGUCCAACAACCCACUCUGAAGAUAGUGUUUAGUGCUUUCGUUUCCUGACUCAGCUCUCUAGCUCUCUUACUUCUCGAGUUUGGUUUGCCCGCUUGGGUAUUGUAUGGGUUUGGGCGUAAAUUUGAAACUUUUUGGCAUGGAUUUGGGCGGGACGUAAUCCAUUUUUUAAAGAUGUAUUAUUUGGGUUUUUAGUAUACACCAAAUUUAAAACAUCAUUACAGUUGUAUAUUGGUUCCCUUUUAGGUAUUACAAAAAUGUUCCAGUUCAUGGAUUUUUCUACGAUUUGGAUAACUAUAAUGAAAUAUGAUUUUUUCUACAUUUCAACAGUUUCAAACAAAAAUUUGAUAUCAAUCAUAUAACAACUUCACACUCAGGCUUCUAAUUCAGAAUUUAAUUUUUCUAUCUUCUCAAUUUCUUCCUAUUCAUUUGCUCCAAUAUACCAUCAUCAUCUCUAAGUCUCUGUUACCUACAAAAUCCUCCUCUAUAAGGAUUGAUGGAAGAAGAAGAGAAAUUAUUAGUUUUGAAAUUGCAAAUAACAAAGAACAUAAAGCAAAUAACAAAAAUGAAGAAAAAUAGCUUAUCAAAUUUGGUUGGUGAUUAUGUAGGAACACACACAGUAUAGUCUAAUGAUCUUGUAGGAACACUCAUUAGUCCGAAUCCGAUGAAACACUAAUCAUAUUUUAAUACACAAUCAUCAAAUUUUCACUUAUUAAUUAUAUAACCAAAACUAUAUAAUUAAUAACAGUCUCCAUCAAUUCCAAACUCUCUUUAAUUAAAUAUAGAUACACAUAUAUAUUCAAUUAAUUCAACGGGUUACACCAAAUAAAUUCGUUAAUUUUCAAUUCCAAUUAAUCUAACACCCAUAAUAAUUUAAUAAUAAAUUAUUCAAGAUAAUUAAAUUAGAAAAUUUACCAUAAAUUUGUGGGUGUUACAUAAAACCAAUGGUAAACUAGAGAAAAUUGAAAAUCAUUAAAAAUAUUGAACUUGAUUUUGGGUUGGUUGUUGCAAAAAGUUGAACGUAGAAGAAAAUGAAAAAUUGUGGGAGGGAGAGUAGACAACUAUCAGAUGAUAAUUAUAGGGUUAUUAGACAACAACCAUAAACUUAUCGAUUUUUAAUUUUGCUAGUCUUGCAAUUUAGAAAAUAUAGUAACAUCAACCUUCUCAUCAUAAUUUUUUUUUUCCAUAUUUGCUAUAUUUAAAAAAGGAUGAAAUGGUAUAAUUUAAAUUAGGUAUAUGAUGCAAUUUCGGUUGAUCAAAUAAAGGGGAGAAAAGGAAAAGUUAAAAAGUUUCUGAAUGUCCCUUUUAACCCCCCCUUGGUAUAAUUAUAUCCUCUAUAGCUUUAUAUCCAUAUUUUUGGUUGUUUUGGUUACCUCUUUUUCUACUUUUGACUCAUCAAACCAUUAAACUGUGUUGAAACUUAUUUCACAUUUGACAACAUCUUUAUGACUAUUAACUUUGGAUUCCAAAAAUCACUAAUUAUUUUAAAUUUAUUUCCCUUUUGUUCUCAUUAGUAUCGCCAUCUACCAUCAAUUGUUGUGAAUAGUCGAAUACCAUGUGGAGUGAAAGUUUCUGUGUUUUUUCCUUCAAUCCAUCUGAAUGCUAAAGAAAAAGAAAAACUUCUCGAGUUUUAAACCCAAUCUCCUUUCAAACUAUUUUACAUUACUUCCAUAAAUGCUAUCAAAUUUUCAAAUGUUUCAAUUUUAUUCAUUCAAUGAAAAUACACAAACUGAUAUGGCAAUCACCGACAUGUCUAAGAUGGAGAGACACACUUUCAUAUAGAAUUAUAUAUUUAAACCAAAAUGGGAUGUAUUGAAUAUUUAUUGGCCGCCCUAAUAUUGAUAAGGUACAAUGAUUGGCAACUUGGUAUUUGGGUUGAAAGAAAGUUAUAGCAAGAGGAGUUUCAAUGUCCUCAUAAACUCAUCCAUAUCCAUAUGUUUAAAUCAAAUGGUAUGUAUUAAAUUCAUUCAUAUCCAAAUCUUGAGAGAGAGAGAGUGGUAAGAUCUGAGGGAAUAUGGCUGAGUUCUUAUGGACUUUUGCUGUGCAAGAAAUUUUGAAGAAGGUCCUAACUCUUGUGGCUGAGCAGAUCAUUCUAGCAAGGGAGGUCAAGGAUGUGCUACAACAACUACAAAAAGAGCUAGUUGAGUCUCAAAAAAUUGUUAGUGCUAUCACUACCCAAAGACAAAAUCAUUAUUCACCAGAUAGCUUAGUGACUCAGUGGGUGAAUGAUCUUCAACUUAUUGUUCAUGAGGCUGACGACUUGCUGGAUUUGUUUGUUUAUGAACAUCUUCAGCAAAGAGUGAACCCAUCAGCUCAUGGAAAAAUAAUAAAAAAGGUACUCUUUAUUUCUUACUUCAUUCAUAUAUGUUUAGUGUGUAACGACUUAUAAAUUAGUAUAUUGAAUAAAAAUCAACCCAUCGAGAGGUUAUGGUCUGUGAUCUCUUUAUCUUGCCUGCUAUAUUCUUCAAACCCUGAGUUAUUGCAUAUAAUUGGGCCCUAGAAUAAUUUUGAGUUUGGCAUAUUUAUUAUUCUUUUGCCAACAGGUACCUCAUUUCUUAUGCGCUUCGGCAAGGACUAAAAAAAUGAAGGAAAUUAUAGCGUUGUUAAACAAACAUUGCACCAAAUUACCUCACUUACUUCAACUUGAGCCUACACCCUCAAACAUUGCAGAGACUGAAGUUGCGCAAAUUCAAGAGACAGUCUCAAAGCCUGAAGAUUAUGUGGUGGGAAGGAACAGGGAAGUUGAAACCAUAGUUGAUCGAGUGAUUGAUGCCAGCAAACAGGAACUCAAUUCUAUUUUACCCGUUUUUGGAAUGGGUGGAUUAGGAAAAACCACUUUGGCAAAGUCGGUCUUCAACCAUGAUAGGAUCAAAAAUCAUUUUGGUAUCACUAUUUGGAUAUAUGUGUCACAACCUUUUGUCAUCAACAACAUUUUGCAAGCAAUCUUACAAAAGGUGGAGGUUCAUUCUAGUGAUUGCUCCAACAAUAGGGAGGCCUUACUUGAAAAGCUUACAGAAAACAUGGGAGAGAAAACAUAUUUUCUUGUUCUUGACGAUGUUUGGAAUGAAAACAAAAUGUUGUGGGAGAAGUUGAAGGAAUGUUUGAUGAGUAUUACUCAUAUGUCAGGAAAUAGUAUUCUUGUCACUACAAGGAGCAGUGGAAUUGCAAAAAUGAUGGAAGAAAAUAUUGGAAGUCAUGAAUUAAGAAAAUUAUCUGAUGACCAAUGUUGGUCAAUAUUUAGGAACUUUGCCAAUGCCAAGGAUGUACCAAUGACUUCCAAUUUGGAGUUUGUGCAAAAAGAGUUUGAUAAAAGAAUCGGUGGUCUUCCAUUAAUCGCUAAAGUUUUGGGAGCAGCAGUUCCAUUUUCAGGAGACCAUGACCAGUGGGUAGCAAAUAUAAAAAGCGUUCUAACAACUCCAAUAAAAGAGGAAGAGUUUGUUAAAUUCACAUUGAAGUUAAGCGUUGAUCGUCUACCAAAUGCUUCAGUAAAGCAGUGUUUUGCUUAUUGUUCAAAUUUUUCCAAGGGUUGUGAGUUUGACAAAAAGCAAGUGAUUCGAAUGUGGAUGGCACAAGGAUUUACUCAACCAGAUGAAAGAAACAAUGAAACAAUGGAAGAUACAGGAGAAAGGUACUUUAACAUCUUGUUGUCUUUCUGCUUAUUUCAAGAUGUUGUUAAGAAUGAAAGAGGAAUAAUUGAGAAGGUUCGAAUGCAUGAUCUUAUACAUGAUAUUGCUUGUCAAGUUUCAAAUGAUAAAAAGUUGCGAAUAGAUCACAUCAUUUCAUCAAAUUGGAAAGAUUGGACGAAAGAUGACAAAAUACUUGUGAGCAAGUUACGAACAAUAAAUUUUUAUGAUCGUCAUCAUGUGGUGGUUCAGGAUAAGAUUGGGGACUUUACUGGUUUGCGUGUUUUGACAAUUGAAAAUUAUAUUGUUGAGGAGUUACCAAACUCAAUAUUCAAGUUGAAGCACUUGAGAUAUCUAGACAUUUCGUAUUGUUAUUCAAUAAAGAAGCUUCCUGAAUCUAUUGUUCUGCUUUAUAAUUUGCAAACACUGAGAUUUCAUCUCUUAAGCAAGGGAUUUCUACCAAAAAACGUUGGACAAAUGAUUAGUUUGAGGCAUUUGGAGUUCUCAUCUAUCGAUAAACAAAUGUCUCCCUAUUUGAGUCAAUUGAUUCAACUUGAAACAUUGCCUAAAUUUGCAGUAGGUUUUGAGAAGGGUUGUAAGAUUACAGAACUUGGGGUUCUAAGAAACCUGAAAGGGUUGUUGAAGCUUCAACGUUUAGAACAUGUUGAAAGUAAAGAAGAAGCCGAAACUGCAAAAUUAGUGGAAAAGGAGAAUCUAGAAGAAGUACAUUUUGUGUGGACAAAGGAAAGGAAGAGAAAAGUAGAGAAUAAGAAUGAUUUGGAAGUGUUGGAAGGACUUCAACCACCCAAAAAUGUAGAAUAUUUGAGAAUCAAAUACUUUUUAGGUGGGUGUUUACCAAACCAGACGUUUGUUGAGAAUUUAGUGAAAAUAGAGCUAAGAGAUUGUGGAAAUUGUGAGAAGCUUCCAAGGCUUGGGCAAUUAGGAAAUCUAGAGAUACUUGAUAUUUCAUGGUUUGAAAGAGUAAAGAGUAUAGGGAAUGAAUUCUAUGGAAACAGCUCCAACAACCAAAGGAGUUUAUUCCCCAGGUUGAAGGAAUUGUAUGUUGAUGAGAUGAGGAGGAUAGGAGAAUGGGAAGAAGUGGGAAGUAAUGUUAAAGCUUUCCCACGUCUUGAACGUUUGUAUAUUGGUUGUUGUAGAGAUUUAGUGAAAAUUCCAGAUGUUUUUGGGUAUUGUGAUGAGUAUGGUGAGAAGCAUCUGGAAGUUGUGGAAAUUAUUGAACAUUUGUGGUUAGACCGACCUUCAAAUUUGUGGUCUUUUGUUACAACGCAAGGAGGAGCAUUGGCCAAUUUGCUAUCCAGAAGAACUCGCUCUUUCUUCUAUUACCGAAAAGAAAGAAGACAAAUGAAAGAAAAAAUAAAAGAAAAAUUGCGGUUUGCUCUUUAUGUGCAGUCUGCUGCGACCCAAUUCAUCGUCAAAGUCCCAACACCAACACCAACACCAAAGCCUAAAAUUCGUUCUUUUUCUCCUUGCUUCUUCUAAUGAUGUCUUCCGCUACCAACUAAUACUAUUUUUUCUCCCUAAUCAUAAUUCCUCAUCAACUCACAUACAAAUCACUCAAACUCAUUAAAAGAGCCUUUGGGGUAAAGAAUGCCUACCAAUAAUAUGGAGUUAUGUGUGUUUGAAGCCAACAGUAUUAUAGUAUCCAUUAUUAUUAUAGACUCUAUUAUUAUAAUUAUAUGGGUUUUUCACUAUUCUUUUUUGUCAUUCAUAUCUAUGGUACAUGAAAUAUACAUUUUUCUUAAAUUAAAUUUAUUAAAUUUUAUUAAUUAGGAUACCUAUUUAAAUAAUUUAGCUUUAAUCCUCAUAUAAAUUAAUUUCAUCAUCUGUUUUGGGUGAUUGUGUUUGAAAUUAUGUUACACAUACAUUCUCCAAAUCGACUACUGAGUUAUUUAGGUAAUAAAACAAGACAAAAAAAUGUUAUUGUUGAAUACGUUCUUAGCCAAAUUUAAAUAAAUUAAGUUAGAUAAGCUCCGUAAAUAAGUGGGUAGAAUACAAUGGUAGAUACAAAAGUACAUAAAUUCAAAAUAAAGCGAAAUCAAAACACAACCACCUAUUCAAAAAAGAAAGAAAAAAACUAACUUGUUAAAUAUUGUUAUUUUCUGACUGAACGGUGCAAUACUCCAAUUUUAGCUUCAUGGGUAUCGACAUCAAUUCCUCUAUGACAGAAAUUCCUCUAUGUCAUCCUCACUAUGGAACAUGAUUCGCAUAAGCUUUACCCUCUCUCAGCUACUUAGUUCAGGGAUAUCUUGUAGUUGUUUCAUGACUUUCCCAUGUAGUUCAACCUAUAUUUCGUGCUUUUCUUUUGGUCAAUUUGCAAUUGUCUUCAAUUGGUCAUUUGCAAAUUUCAUUGCAUUCCUAAUGACAUUUAUCAUUUCAGAUAGUUGGCCACCUCGGUUCCUCUUGCUUCUGCUCAAAGAAUUUCUUCCUUCACUUGGUCGACCUACCCGUGUUCACAACAUCUUAUCCAGUGACAUAUCCACCUCCUUGACUAUAUAUCAUCGAGAUCUAGGGUUCAUGUGAAUCACCAAGGGGAACACCAUCAAAUUGUUUCGCACAUUAAACCCUCAAAGGUCUUUAAACAUGCUCUCGUAGCCCGAUCUUUGCUGAACACAUAAGACAGAUCAUCAUGAUAUGGAAAUGAUUGUUUAGGAGGCUUUUGGCAGCACGAUGAGUCUGUGCAAACAUUUCAAUAGAUUAGUCGAUGAUUAGGGUUAUAAACAUAGAACGUUGUACAUAAAAUAUACAUAUCUUCACCCAACUGUUGAGCAACUCUUGUUCUGCGAUGAUACACUGAUAUUCUUUAUUCCAUCCAAAGCUACUACACGAUGGCCCUCUCAUUUCUAUGAUUUCUUGGUAGGUUUUUUCAGUGAUUUCACUUUACAAUCUAUAAUCGGUGAUCAUUGGAUAUUAGUGCCCGACAACUUCUUUGUCAUCAUCCAUUAUAGUUGUGCUAAGGCACCCAAGUCGAAAGGUCUCAUUAUCUGAUUUCCACCCACUAGAUGAAACCAAUUCCACCAAGCACUCUACUAGUUUCACUUUUUCCUCUCUAGUUCAAAUGUGUUUGUAUUCUCUUGAAGAACUUUGCAUUCCAGCAUAUAUACAUAUACAACAUAAUAAAAUGAAACAAGAGGUGUCUAAUAUCUAAUUGUACAUAGUCAAAUUUAGCAUAUAGUGAACAUAAUAACAUGAUCAUACAAGAAUUAUAUUGCAUUACUGUUGCAGACAUUUCACAAAACAUUAACAAUUCAAAACAAAUGAGAAACUACCUUUAUGUGUUUACAAUAGUUAAAUAAACAUAAGGGCACUACUAAUUACGAAACUCCCACUCGCUGAACAUCUAAUGAGUCAAUUCAUCCCUAUAUUAACUCCACUUGUUUGAGGUUUCAAUGUAAUUAAUCUUGUCACCUUCGGUUGUAGCGUAGGUUGAAUCACCCUCAUCCAAAUUGUCAAAGAUAUAUUUCAAUGCUAAUCAUCUCUCUAUUUAUAAGAUUGUGUAGAGGACAACAAGCCAUUAUAGUUCGACAUUAGAUUCGUACUGGGUAGUAUGACUUUCUUCUUAGGAUUUUCCAUCGAUCCUUCAACAACCUAAACAUUCUUUCGAUGACAUUCAGUGCAGAAGAAUUUUUCAUGUUGAAGAACUCUCGUGAUGUUGUUGGUGUAUUACAUCCUCCACGUCACUUUGAAAGAUGAUAUCAUUUUCCUCUAUAUGGAACCAGGAAACCCUCAACUUUUAGGUACCUAACAUCACGUAUAAGUAGUAAUUAUACCCUAUUCAAAACUCGACUAUUUCAAAUCUCAUCCUACAAAUAUAAACAGUAUGUAGAGAAAAUAUUGUUUUACCUCCAAGAUUACAUCUUGUUCCUUAAAUCCCAUUGAACAAUUGCUUUAAGGUCCAACUUAAAAUCAAAUCCCUUGCGGGCCAAUGAGAGGGUGAGACCCCUUUCAACACCUGAAUUCAGUCCUUAAGGAAACAACUCAUCUACUAACCUUAUAAUGGGCAUGAGUGAAUUUCAUCUUACAUUAUAUGUCCCUAGCUAUCCAUUUGGUCUUACCCUUUAAGUGAAAAACUUAUUGGGCCAGCGCUAUUGAAUUACUCUCACUUAUGUAGAUCAAAGGAUAAUACCAUGUGAACCAAACAGUACAAGAAAUUGGAAGUUUCUCGACACAGGAAAAAUCGUAUAGAAACAUGACGUCGGUAGAAGCCGAUGUUUCCCUAUGCAUCUAGGUGCACGUCGGGGGAAGGUAUUUAGAUUUUAGGUUUUAGGUUUUAGAUUUCAAAUUAGUUUUAGUAUUUAAAUUUUGAAUUAGUUGUAGAUUUUAGUAUUGUAUUUGAAUUUGAAGUGUUAUUAAGAUUUUUGAAUAGUUUGUAGGUUUUAGGAAUUUGAGAUUGAAGUGUUGAAGUUGAGAUUGAAGUGUUGAAUUUGAGAUUGAAGUGUUGAAGUUGAGAUUGAAGUGGUGAAUUUGAGAUUGAAGUGUUGAACUUGAGAUGGAAGGUAUUUCUUUUUUUUUAAAAAAAUAGAGGAACUUCUGACGCUAUAUUGACAGCAUCUUCGAUGUUCAUACAACGUCGGAAGAUGUUUAGGAAUUCUCAAUGCACAACAAGUUGUGCGUCGGGAGUUCCUCUCCCGACACAUUUGCCCCGACGCAUGUACCGACGCAUAAAUAUGCGUCGAAAAAUCCUUUAUAUAUCUUCCAACAAUUUUGUUCGUCGAAAAAGUCUUCUUUUCUUGUAGUGAGAGUUCAUAGUUAGUUCAUGAUUAAGAUUAAGUUACCUAGACCAUCAAUAAUCGAAAUAGUUAGUUUUAUAAUAUCCACAAUAUUAUAAUGCAAAAGUGACUAUUACAUAGGAUACCCCCACUUUUAUGUCUCCACACGAACGAUGCAAUAUCACAUCAUUUGUACAAACUAAAAAGUAGACCGCAUUCAUAGUGUCUCCAGAAUAAGGCAUCCAUAGUGUCCGCAUCAUUUGAUUACUUCUUCUUUUGGAUUCUUCCCCACUAACUACUAUUUAAUAGCAAACUUUUUGUUUUUAGUUAUUAAGUUGAUGGACACAUAUACUAUAUGCUUGAUCCCACCUUUUGUUUUUUCUUUUCAAAUCCUUCCAUAUCUCUAAAAUCAAACUACCAACAAUAUUGUUGAAUAUAAAAAAUUGUCAUACAUUAUUGAUGUGGAAAGGAGAGAGAACUUGUAGGUAUAUAUAGAGUGAGAACAAAUGUAGUUAAGGAAGAAAUAAAUGAUAGUGAAUCUAAAUGGUCUAUAAAUAAAUGAUGUGGGAACUAAAUAGUCUAAAAAAAUGUUUUUCUUCAACCUAAAACUAUUCCACAUUAGCCAAAUAAUGAAAUCCUUUUAUUUCCUUCUUAACAUAAAAUUUCACUAUUUUCCAGAAAAAAAAACUCUUACAACUUCUCAAUGGCAAAAAAAAAAAAAAAAAAAGAAAAGACAAUGACAUAUUGCAACAUUUAAUAUUAGAAUUAAUUUUUUUCUCCUAAAUGUAAAACUCCUCCAUUUUCUUAAAAAGAAAAGCUCAUUAAAAUUCUCCCCUUCACAAGAAAUAAACCAAAAUUUUCUUUAAAGAAAAAACUUCUCAAGAUCACAAGAAAUAAAUCAAACCUACUAAUUAUUUAAAAAUUGAAAUUAAUUGAAAUAGGCAAAAAGAUUUAAAAAAAAAAACAUCAAUUUUUAAUACUCAAUUAUUUAAAUAUAAAAACCACAAUUAAUUGAAUACAAAUUUACAAAUAAAACUAAAAAGGAGAAUUGAAAAACAAUACUAAAUGCGAGAGCAUAAGAGAAAAAAGUGUUUCUCUACUGCUAGAUUUUUAUAUAUAGUAUAGAUAAACAGAAGACAUUAACAUUAUUGCACAUGACAAAAGUUGGUAUACAAUGAAUGGUUGAAGAGAAAGAAAUAAUAGACAAGCAUUAAUAACAAUUAAUAAUAACUCUCUCUCCCUUCAUGUCUCUCUUCCUGUGGCUAUAAAAAGACUUAUGUGAUUGAGAGUUUGGCUUUGAGUUCCUUUCUCAAGAUCUUUCCAGAAGGUGAUUUUGGAAUUGUUUUCACAAAAUAUACUUUGUGCAAUCUCUUGUAGAACACAACCUGUUGGUUUUGCAUUUAGAAAAAAAAAAAAGACAACCAAUGUGAGAUAGAUAUCAAUUCAAUGCUUCAAUUCCCUUUGUACAAACUACUGUUUGAGCUUUUAUUGUGAUUUAACAAUACUUCCAUUCACAAAAAUCUAAAAGCUGUAGGUCUAUUUGAUUAUGAGAUAGACUAAGAUUUUAUUUUUGGUUUCUAAUUUCUAAAAUUUAAGAAUGUCCCCACCUCUAUAUUUAUAUUUUUGUUAUCUUUUUCUACUGAUAUUUUCAAAAAUAAGCUUAAUUUUAAAAUUUAAAAAAAAAAGUUUUAAAAAACUAUAUAGAAUUUGACUAAAAAUUCAAUUUUUAUAAGAAAAAAAAUACAAAUCCUUAUAAAACAACGAGAGAAAAUAAUCUUAGUGUUUAAAAAACAAAAAUAAAAUUCUUACAAAAUGAGACCUUCAUUAAAAAAGAAAAAAAAAACUAGUUUGUGUUUUUAAAAUUUAACUAACAAUUCAUUUGCUUUUCAAGAAAUUUUAAAACUGUAAUAUAAAAUUUGAGAUCAAAGAAACGUAAAUUAAAAAAAAAAAAGUAAAAGUAAAAUUGAUGCCAAAUAGUGUUAAAAACAAAAGUAAUUGUGAAACUAAAAAGUAGUUUCUAUAUAUUUAAACAAAUAAGCUUAACUUCACUCUAAAGCAAAAAAAAAAUUGAAUAUUUGUGAUAUAAGUUUUUAUUGAGUAAUAUGUUAGAAAAUUAAUAAAUAGUUCUAACAUUUUAUCUCUUUCUCAAAUUAUUAUAAACAUUUUAUCUCUGAAUUUUAAACUUGAACUAUAAUUCUAAUUUGGUUAUAAGGGAAAUUAAAUUGAUAAUACACAAACCUGCUUUGCUAUGAAUUCUUUUACUGAUUCCUCAGAAAGUUCAUUAUGAGUUGAUGGAACUAUGAAAGCUACGGGAACUUCACCAGCAACAUCGUCGUUUUGCCUAGAAUUAAAAAUAUUUUCAACAAUUUUAUCGUUUAAAACAAUUAUUCAAGAACAAAAAAAAAAAAGUUAAGAAAGUUGGAAAUUGUGCACUUACGGUACAACAGCAGCAUCAACAAUAGAUGUAUGGGUUACGAGAAGGGCCUCUAACUCUGCUGGUGCCACCUAAACAAUAUCAUAAUUUUAUAAAUUUUACGUAUAGAACUUCUUUUUUUACAACAACGAAGCAGUAUCAACUUUUAUAAUACUUUGUAUUAUUCUAACUAUUUCCUCCUAUCCUUUAAUAUUAAUGUCUAUUAGCUAACAUGCAAGUCAUCAAAUAAUUUAAAUGAUUAUAUUUCACUAAUUUUUCCACAGUAUCAAAAUUAAAAUGAAAAUUAAACUCAUCAAUAGUUAUUUAAAGUACUUAAUUAGAAGUUAACAACAAAUACACAUGAAAAUUUUCAAAAUAUUCAAAUAAAUUAAGCUAACAUUUUUAAAAUAUAGAAAGUAAAUAAACUUUUUUUUUUUUUUUUGUAUGGAGUUAAAAAUAUAACAUUUAGAAAAUAAUAGAAUCAAUUGUAUUAAGAAACAAAAUUUACCCAUUCGACUGGACUCAUUUGAUGAAAUUAAGUAAAUAAGAACAAAAAAUAAGAGUAAAAAAUAAAGAUUAGAAUUAGUAAGGGAAUAGAAUAGUUUGUACCUGGAAACCUUUAAAUUUAAUAAUCUCUUUGACUCUAUCAACUAUAAAAAUUUCUUCUUCGUCGUCAACGAAUCCAAUAUCACCCGUAUGAAGCCAACCCUCCACGUCGACAGUCAAUGAUGUGGACACCGGGUCAUUCAAAUAACCUAUCAUGUAUCAGUAUCAUCACAUUCAUCUCAGUUUAAGUACUUUGUUCCAUUUUCACUAUUUUAAUGGUUAAUACACAAAGUUGUUGUAGACCAAUGUAAUUCACUCCUACUUUUACUGUAACUUAUUCCUAACCCCUAAUUACUUCCUAACAUGAAACUCAUUUAAAAGAAUGUAGAGUUUCUUCAUUAUCAUAUUUUUAUAUUUGUAGAAUGAUUCUUAACCAUUAUGACAUGCGUCCUAACAAAUUGUGAUGCUACUCUAAUAAAGAAACUAAAAACAAUUCUCAAAAACCAAAAACUUUGAUUCAUCCCAUAGAUAAGUUUGAGGGAGCUGAAGUGGUUUUUUACUUUUAUUGGUGCUUAUUAAUAACAGUGGAACUACUAGCACCAACCUAAAAGAAAACCCAACACAAUGUUACUGAUGAUGGUGAAGGAAAAUUUAAUUAUUUCAAAAGAGACUCAACAACAAACGAAAAUUAAUAUUUAUGACCUUCUGAAACCUACUUGCUAAAGUAGUAGAUUGACCAAAAAAAUUAAGAUACUAAAUGGAGGUGAAUUUAACUAUAUUAUUCAACCAAAGAAAAUAAGUUUCAAAUUAUAUUAAUAAAAUGGGUAGGAAGGAUUAGCAAGAAUUUGAUCGAACAGGAUAAUUAAUUUAGUGAGAAGAAAAGAAAAAAAAAGAACCUUUCAUAACUUGGGGACCUCGAACACAAAUCUCUCCGGGUUGAUUAUAAGUAAGUGAGGCACCAGUUAUUGGAUCAACAACUUUAAGCUCCGAGUUUCUAACAACGCGGCCGCAGGAGCCAGAUUUUGUUGGCAUCGGUGGCUCCUUUGCAAAAGCCGAGCACAUGCUCAGCACUGGACCCGCUUCCGUCAUACCAUAGCCCUAUUUGUUAUGCCACGUUCCAUUUACAUAUUAAUAACCUCUAAAUAUCAAUUACACACUAAAACCAACUUUAAAUUGAUGUUAAUUGAACAUAUCACUUUCACUAAAAAAAGGUUUGAGUUUUCAACAUCUAUCUCUGUCUACCAAAAGUAUGAUCUAUUCUUAAUAGAUUCAACAUCUUCAAACUUUCGUAUGAUUAAAAAUUGCCAGUAAUUAAUUAGGAUGAUAUUCAGUAAUCAUAUUAUAUAAGUUAGUUAGUGUUGGAACGAGAUAGUAUUUAAAAAUAAAUGAAUAUAGGAUUGGUCAAUUCGGUAAAGCGAUUCUUUUCUUUUCUUUUCUUACAAUUGAUUUGUUGCUGACUGUCUAAUAGCAUUUAUAUUUAUAUAUGAAAUUUGAUGGGUUUAUUGAAUCUCACUAGACAUUUCUAAAAGAGAGAGUAUGUAAGGUACGUGACAAAGCAUUUAUUAUAAAAUUAGAUUCGUUGGUAGAUAAUUUUACCGUUUUUCUUUUAUUGCAAGAGAUUGCAAAAUAGAAGUCUUUUCUUUUUAAUUACUCUCACAUGCUACAUCUAUAUAACACUCAAUAGCCUUUAAUUAUCCCAUACUUUAUACUUUAUAGUUUAUUUCAUUACUAUAUACCUGACCAAAAAUGGCUUGAGGAAGCCUUUCCAUGAGAGCCUCCUCCAGCUCCUUUCGCAAGGGUGCGGCUCCGGAAAGCACUAAUCGAAUCGAGCUCAAGUCAAAAUCUGCAACCUUCGGGUUCUUUACUAGCGACACCACGAGAGGUGGCACCACCGUUGCCACCGUCACCUUGUGUCUCUCUACUAGUCGUAGCAAUGACUCGAUCUCGAAUUUCUCGAUCAAAAGCAACGCUGCCCCUGAUCUCAUCGAUAUCAAAACUAUGCUACUCAAUGAGAAUAUAUGAAACAUUGGUAACACGCAUAAAACUACGUCGUUUCUUUUUAAAUAUAGGUUCGGAUUUUCUCCAUCAACCUGCAGAUUUACAACAUGAAUAAAUGAUUAAAUGUUUUUCAAAUAUACUAUAGUUACCCAUUUUCUUUUCAUUGUAUCAUACUGUUUGUGACAACCGAUGGUAGAUAGUGGAUUUUAAAGUAUUUAUGUUAUAAUGAAAUAGUUUUAUUCAAUUAGUAUAAAAAAUGUUAAAUUAAAUAUGGACAUUUUCAAAUAAAUAUUAUAUACAAAGUUUUCACUAAGAACCUGUUGAGCCACACUCGACACCAUGUUCUUAUGAGUCAAAAUCACACCCUUGGGGAGGCCGGUCGUCCCGGAGGAGAACGGCAGAGCAACGGCAUCGUUCGUAUCAAUCUCGACAGACGGAACAUCGUUCUCAUCGGCGUCGUAAACCAUCGAGAAGCUCAGACAAUUCUCCGGCGGGGCAUCGAUGGUGACAAUAGUGAGAACAUCACCACAUGAUUCUCGUAACUUAUCAACGCAUCGGGAGUAAGUAACAACGAACUUAGCACCGGAGGCCUUCAGCUGCCUAGAAAUCUCCGCCCCCGUGUAGUAAGGAUUGGCGGUGGUAGCGACGGCGCCGAGCAUGGAGGAACCCAUAAAAGAGAAAAUAAAUUCAGGAGAAUUAUGGAGGAGAAUCAUAAUAACAUCCCCUCUCUUAACACCAAGUUUGGAGAAAGUGGCGGCGGCUUUGCGGGAAAGGAGGUGGGUUUCGGAGUAGGAAUAGGAUUUUCCGGUGGAGCCGACGAUCAAACAUGGGCGGUCGGAAACUUGGGAGAGUUUCUGGAAGGAGUAAGUGUGAAGAGGGAGAUGGUCGGGGAUAGGAAUGUCGGGUAAUUUGGAUCGGAAAACAUGGGUGGGAGGAGUGGAGGGAGGGGGAGAGGAGGAGACAUUAUUGGGUUGCUGGGGGUCGCAGAGAGGGGCUAGGGAUAUCAUUGUGGUGGAGGAGUGGGCAAUGAAAACGUAAUGGGGGAGUUUGGUUGUGGAGAGAGAGAAGAAGGAAGGAAGUGAAUGAUAAAUAAGAGGAAAAGAAGGGUAAGGAAAGAAAAAAGGAAAAGGGUAGGUAGAAGAAACGGUGGAGGGAAAUCCAAAUAUUGGUUUUGAAAGGGGUAGCUUUAAAAUGAGGUAGGGAUCAAAUAACAUUUGAAUUUUUGUUAUAUAUUUUUCUCACUUUCAAUUAACUAUCUUCCUAAUAAAUCAUAAAUAUCUUCAUUUUCUACUCUUUUUUUUUCUUUUCUUCAACUUAACCUCAAAAUUAAAAUAUUUACUGUUCCUCUAACCUCAUCAAACUUAAAUUUUUUUAAAAAUUUCUACGUUUCUCAUUCAUUUUCAUAUUCUUUAUUCAACCAUUUUUCUUUUUUUUUUUUCCAUAGUUUUUUUAUAUGUAAUUUUUUUUUUAUUUUUCUCAAAUUUGUGAUGGGUUGUUUUUCUUUUCUUCCCCUCCUCUUUUUUCUCGAAUAUUAAACUAUACAAUCAUCUUCCAAAUCUAAACAACAAUUUUUCAAAUAUAAAUAAUUGUGUAACAAAUUUAAACAAUUUUAUAUCAAUUUUUUUUUAAAAAAAAUGAUUGAAAUUUGACUCCCCAAAUUUAAAUGAUCAAAUCUAAACGAUCUUGUUUCAAAUAUAAACGGUAGUGUGCCAAAAUCUAAACGAUCGUUUUUUAAAAUAUAUUAAUAGAGAUAUUUUUGGUAUUUUCCAUUAUAAGUGUUUGCAUUUUCAAAAUUGUUUUAUCAAUUUUAUAGUGUGUAAAUAUUUUGCAUUGUUAUAUUUUAUUAAAGAAUCCUAUAUCAUAUUAUGUAUAUAUUUUAUAAAUAAAAAUUAAUUUCAAAAUUGGUGAGUUCAAUUCAAACUUACAUGUAUCGAAAUUGAAAGAUUUCGUUGAAAUUGUUCGUUUGGAAAUUUCCCGAAAAGCUAAUCAUAGGUUCUUCUCUCCAUCGGAACAAUAGGGCCGUUAUGCUCAUUACUAAACUUGUUGAAGAGAUGAAAUAUAACCAAGGUAUAUCUUUUUGAUCAGAGGUUGAAUCGAUCAUCAGAAGAAGAAUUAGGCCAAAAAUUAGGAUACAUUCUGGGAAAAUAAAACUUCCAUAGA